GAUAGGGUGGAUGUGGAGGGGAUGUUUCCUCUCGUGGGGUAUCCAGAACUCGAUGGUGCAGCCUCAAAGCUGAGGGGCGACUUUUCAGGGCUGAACUAGAGUUUUUGCAGAGGAUUUGGAGUUUCAGAGGCAAGAGUGACACCACUGAACAAUUGCUCGUCUAUACAGUACUUAUCUCAGCACUGAACAACUUCCAGUCUACACAGUAUUUACUUCCUUGGGAUUUUUCCCUCAGCAGCGUGAAGUUAAUUUAUCAGACUUCUUCCUUGCAAAUCUUGGCACUGUCAGUGAUGAGCAUGGUGAAAAGUUUCACUGGGACAUUGCGGUCAUGGAGAAAUGGUGUCAGGGAAACUGGCAUCCAUC